UUGACAGCCCUGAAGACCGAAGUCCUUUAUUUAUGCAUGAGCAGCAACAGUUCUGCCUUUCCCACACUGCCCUCCUGAUAUGCUUCACCCAUGACCUGAGGGAUCCCCCUUAAGGUGACAGCUUUGUGGCUUUCACACCCAUUCACUCUCCAGUCCUU
rnacentral:sRNA from 1 species